UAGGGAAUCUUCGGCAAUGGGGGGAACCCUGACCGAGCAACGCCGCGUGAGUGAAGAAGGUUUUCGGAUCGUAAAGCUCUGUUGUUAAGGAAGAACGAGUGUGAGAAUGGAAAGUUCAUACUGUGACGGUACUUAACCAGAAAGGGACGGCUAACUACGUGCCAGCAGCCGCGGUAAUACGUAGGUCCCGAGCGUUGUCCGGAUUUAUUGGGCGUAAAGCGAGCGCAGGCGGUUAGAUAAGUCUGAAGUUAAAGGCAGUGGCUCAACCAUUGUAGGCUUUGGAAACUGUUUAACUUGAGUGCAGAAGGGGAGAGUGGAAUUCCAUGUGUAGCGGUGAAAUGCGUAGAUAUAUGGAGGAACACCGGUGGCGAAAGCGGCUCUCUGGUCUGUAACUGACGCUGAGGCUCGAAAGCGAGGGGAGCGAACAGG
rnacentral:rRNA from 1 species